AUUUUGCGAUUUAUUUUGCUAGGGUUCAGUUGCUUUUGUUUUUCUUUCUCUUCCGCUUUACAGUUUUAUUGUCUAAUCUAUUCAUUUUUUGUUUUGUAUAAAGAUCAAAAAUGUGAUCAACGGGUGUGGCAGUGGGAGCUCAUAAAUAUUAAAACCGUUAUUUUGUAGAUUUGAGGCCUUGAUAGUAAAGUCAUGAGAGAUAUAAUAAAUCAAAAUAAAGUGAAUAUGAUCAAGCACAUAACGAGAACAAAUAUUAAGAAUUAAGAUAAUGAAACAAAAUAUCCAUAUAAAGGGAGAAUCGGCUGGUGUACGAAAUCGUGAAGAAACACUAUGAUCAGUAGUGUUUAUUUAAGGUUACUGAAAUGGUGAUGCCGAAAGAUGAUCCGCAUAACCCUUUUGACUACUGUAGAGUCUAUCUUCGCGUAAUGAGCAAACAGAAAGCGUCAAAUCAGCAUUCCGUAAUUUACAUGUACAAAUAUAAUCCCUGUAAUAUACAUUGAUGACAAAAGAGAAUAUAAUUGGACAUUACAUUUGGGUAUAGUCCCUAUA